CGGCACAUUUGUGUGAUACUUCAGAUACUUGCUGAUACCAACAACCUAUUCCGCAUCCGCAUCCCGACGCUCCAGCUUUGCCUAAAAUGCUAAAGGGUAGCACACUCAAAGCCCUGGACGUCAGAAUCCUACGGCCCCUUAUUAAAACAAGGUCAGCAGCGGAGGACAGCAGCGCAGCUUCUCCAGCAGCAUCCACCGGUCCUACAUAACUUUCAAUGAUUUCCGCAAGAAACACCGCUGGUACACUAAGAAGGAGCUUGUGGGGUACUCCAUGCAGGAUAUGUACAGCGUGGUUUCCGACGUCAGCAAUUACCACAAGUUCGUGCCGUAUGUAAAGCGCUCCGAUGUCCACAGCCAGAGCAGUGGGGGCUUUAAGGCGGACCUCAUCGUCGGGUUUCCGCCGCUUAACGAGGCCUACACCUCGCAGGUGACCCUAGUGGCGCCCAGCUUGGUUAAAUCUGAGUGCCACGAUGGACGUCUGUUUAACUACCUCCUGAAUGAGUGGUCUUUUAAGCCGGGCCUCAAGGACAUACCUAACUCCUGCGUGCUGGACUUCAAGGUCUCCUUCGAGUUCAAGUCCCUCCUGCACAGCAACGUCGCCAACAUAUUUUUUGACCUUAUCUGCGAUCAAAUGGAAAACGCUUUCAUCCAGGAGGUGCGUCGACGGAGUGGUCCGCCCUCAAUCCGCUCCCACGUGCUCACUUCGGAGCGGUCCUGACC
rnacentral:misc_RNA from 1 species